AGUAGGUAAUAGUUAAUAGUGGUAUAACUGGGACAAGAACGCUUAAGUAGUUCAUUAUCCAAUAGCUAACCGAUUUUCAGUAUACGUUAUAGCUUUAUAUUAAGAAUUCAAGCAAAGAAAAAGUUAUCGUGAUGAGUUCCCUUCAGUGAAGUUCAAAAUUGGUUUCAUUUGAUUUUAGUGUAGUCAUAGCUCUGGAUCAAAUGGAGUGGCAAAAAGGGCUUCAUAUAUUUCCCAAGUUUAUUUAGUAAUCC
rnacentral:lncRNA from 1 species